UUUUGACCUCGGAUCAAGUAGGGAUACCCGCUGAACUUAAGCAUAUCAAAA
rnacentral:rRNA from 1 species